rnacentral:rRNA from 1 species
UACGUAGGGUGCAAGCGUUGUCCGGAAUUAUUGGGCGUAAAGAGCUCGUAGGCGGCCAUACAGGUCAGCUGUGAAAACUCGAGGCUCAACCUCGAGACGUCGGUUGAAACCGUAUGGCUAGAGUCCGGAAGAGGAGAGUGGAAUUCCCGGUGUAGCGGUGAAAUGCGCAGAUAUCGGGAAGAACACCCGUGGCGAAGGCGGCUCUCUGGGACGGUACUGACGCUGAGACGCGAAAGCGUGGGGAGCAAACAGG